rnacentral:rRNA from 1 species
GACGUAGGAGGCGAGCGUUGUCCGGAUUCAUUGGGCGUAAAGAGCUCGUAGGCGGCUUGGCAAGUCGGAUGUGAAAACUCCAGGCUCAACCUGGAGCCGCCAUUCGAUACUGCUAUGGCUAGAGUCCGGUAGGGGAGUGUGGAAUUCCCGGUGUAGCGGUGAAAUGCGCAGAUAUCGGGAGGAACACCGAUGGCGAAGGCAGCACUCUGGGCCGGUACUGACGCUGAGGAGCGAAAGCGUGGGGAGCGAACAGG